rnacentral:rRNA from 1 species
UACGGAGGAUCCGAGCGUUAUCCGGAUUUAUUGGGUUUAAAGGGUGCGCAGGCGGGAUGUUAAGUCGGCGGUGAAAUUUUGCAGCUCAACUGUAAAAGUGCCUUCGAUACUGGCUUUCUUGAGUGUGGAUGAAGUGGGAGGAAUGUGUAGUGUAGCGGUGAAAUGCAUAGAUAUUACACAGAACACCGAUUGCGAAGGCAUCUCACAAAGCCGUUAUUGACGCUGAGGCACGAAAGUGUGGGGAUCAAACAGGAUUAGA